AGAUCACGACCUUGAAAUCACGACCUGAGCUGAAACCAAGAGUCAGAUUUUGACUCUCUUUGGCUGUAGACCUUUUGAAGUCUCCUUCCAUCUAGUUCCUGGCCAGGCUGAAUCCUGAAUACUUCUACUGUGGGAUCAUCUCUCCCAUUGCCACAACAGGUCACAAGACCUCAGAUGGUAAAGCUUUUCCACGGAUGCUGGCUCUGUUGCUUUUCUUAAGCCCUGGCCACAGGUUUAUUACAGACAGAGUAUGUCUGCCACACUUGGGAGAGAAGGUACAGUUAGAUCCAGAGCAUCUUGAGUGCUUUUGUGGAGAAGGGUCCAUGGUCACAGUUCUCCAAUCCUGAGAUUUUCCAAGAGAGGAAGAACUAUUCGUUGUAACAUAGAAGGAGGCUUCUGUUAUGUAGAAGAAAAACUGACCAAGUGUCCUCUCCUACAUGGCUGCCAUAUCAGUCAGGUUCUCCCUGCAACUCUUCUAAUCCUCCUCUCUCUUAUGCCCUGCUCCAUUCUCUUCAGGUUCUUUGUCCAGCCCCCAAUCUCAGGCCAUGUUGAGCUAGAGAUAGCUCAAAAACUUAUGAUCUCUUAAGAAAUUCAGGCUGGUAUAAUUCAGGUUAUCACUAAUCAUAGGGGAAGAUUCCAAACUGCUCUGUCAUUUUGAAGAUUAACUCUGGGUGCUGAGUCCUGCUUGUGCCAGUAGAUGUCAUUGUAGUGUAGGCCAACUAACUGAUGAGUUAGCUUUUUUUUUUUUUUUGUCUUGAUGCAUUAUGUAUAUACAUAUUAAAAAAGCAUCAUGUGGAUUUUUUGUCUUACAUACAGAGCUGUCACAAGUAUAAAGUUGUGGUUAUUUUGAAAGUUAAAGGAGAUUUUUUUUUGUUAAGAUUUUAUUUAUUUAUUCAUGAGAGACAUACAGAGAGAGGCAGAGACACAAGCAGAGAGAGAAGCAAGUUCCUUGUGGGAGCCUGAUGUGGGACUAGAUACCAGGACCCAGGGAUCACGCACUGUGCUGAAGGCAGACACUCAAACACUGAGCCACUCAGGCAUCCCAGUUAGUGGAGAUUUUGAAGUCCUAAAUAAAAGAUUAUUUUUGCAGAGGGAAUAUGUAUACCAACAAUGUAAUUUCUUUUUUUUUAAGAUUUUAUUUAUU